GUCGAGAUUUAUACAUGAAGCAUUGAGAGGCUGUGGCGAGGAAGUUAUUUUCUGUGAAGUUUAUACAAUACAAGAGCUUUAUUCAUCCCUAAAGGGAAUUUCAUUUGUCUUGAAUCCCUGAUAAACUGCAGAUAAACCAAGUUAUGAUCCGACCUGCCCAGAGGUGGUAAGGCAGUAGUUCUGUGAGCAUCUUUGACGUUGGCAAACAGUAGCCUGGCUGAGCCAUCCUGUUGCGUGAGUCACUUGAAGUUCCUUCCCACCACAGUCUGGACUUCGGCCCAUAGAGAGCGUGUAUGCCCGAUCAGAAAAUAACCGGGCCAAUCAGAGACCGUAUUUCCACUGUUACCCGGACAACAGGGAAAGGCAGCCCCUGAUUGGUCCAUGCACUACUGUAACCAAUCACCGUCACCAAGCAACUGUGAUGAUGUCAGAUGCUUGGUUACAGUGAUUGGUUACAGUAGUCUGUCUAUCAAGGAAAGUACUCCCGCCCACUUUCAGGGCUUCCAAUCGGCCAAAGUCCAGACUGUUGUGGGAAGGAACGUCAAGUGACUCACGCAACAGGAUGGCCCAGCCAGGCUAGGCAGAUCCAGGGCUUUGCUUUCUCUGGUAAGACAGAUUUAAAAAAAAAUGUGUAAAGUCUGUAUCCUAGCAACAGUAUUAUGG